GUCCCAGUUCGGAUCGCAGGCUGCAACCCGCCUGCGUGAAGUUGGAAUCGCUAGUAAUCGCGGAUCAGCAUGCCGCGGUGAAUACGUUCCCGGGCCUUGUACACACCGCCCGUCACACCAUGAGAGUCGGGAACACCCGAAGUCCGUAGCCUAACCGCAAGGGGGCGCGGCCGAAGGUGGGUUCGAUAAUUGGGGUGAAGUCGUAACAAGGUACC
rnacentral:rRNA from 1 species